rnacentral:rRNA from 1 species
CGUAUCCUACGGGACGCAGCAGUAGGGAAUUUUCGUCAAUGGGCGCAAGCCUGAACGAGCAAUGCCGCGUGAACGAGGAAGGUCUUCGGAUCGUAAAGUUCUGUUGAAGGGGAAAAGAGCGGAGAGAGGAAAUGAACUCCGAUUGAUAUUACCCUUCGAGGAAGUCACGGCUAACUACGUACCAUCAGCCGCGGUAAUACGUAGGUGGCGAGCGUUAUCCGGAAUGAUUGGGCGUAAAGGGUGCGUAGGCGGCCUGCUAAGUCUGGAGUGAAAGGUACCGGCUCAACCGGUACAGGCUCUGGAAA